rnacentral:antisense_RNA from 1 species
CACUUCUCCCACUGACAGUACCUGCUAAGAAUUAGCAUCCAGCUCAAAAUGCAUAUCUAUCUGCUGAAGUCCGACAUCACCAUCAGCUCCACCCAGAGGAUCUCACAGUAAAACCACAGGAACCAGAGAGCGAUAUGACAUCUCUGCUGACGUGAACACAACAGGAGGCUCUCCUUCCCUCCUCUACCUCCCCAGGCAGUGACCUUGCAAGCUCAUCGGCACAGACUGGUCCAGCGUAUGGGAGAACUGGAGCAAGGAGGCUGGCAGCUGGCAGGGUUGGGGUAGAGGGGAGGGCAGGGAAAGGUGGAAGAAGGUAGAUACACGAGGAUGGGGAGGAGAGCGAUUGCAGAAAGAUGAAAUGGUGUUCUCUCUCCAGCAAGUCAAUUUCGAAACAUCAAGUUAAAAAAAAAAUUUCUUGAGAA